UGUUAUGGUGGGUUAGGCGGAAGUGCUUCGGCACGCUAGACCCUUGAGACUAGUAAGACCAAUUCCGUUUAACCUGCCACCCUA
rnacentral:antisense_RNA from 19 species